rnacentral:snRNA from 1 species
AGAUGCGAGGGUGAGCUGGCUAUGACAUUUGUCACCCCAUUGAUCACCAGGAUUGAUUCAGCUGAUCUGACCGGCUAGGUGGAUGUCCCCUUCCUCCUCACCACUCCAUAGGCAUCCCUCUCAAAGCUGUGCGUUUGGUGGACCCUAUUAGAGGAGGACCAUUUCCUUGGUCAAGUGAAUACAAGUAGCUGUGCUCCCCUGCUAGAACCUCCAAACAAGGUCUCAAGAAGACGUCAGCCUUCCUAGACUCCUCUCACAUGUCCCAUCUCAGUCUCUAAGGG